UACGUAGGGGGCAAGCGUUGUCCGGAUUUAUUGGGCGUAAAGGGUGCGUAGGCGGCGCGGUAAGUCGGGUGUGAAAUCUUGGAGCUUAACUCCGAAACUGCAUUCGAUACUGCCGUGCUUGAGGACUGGAGAGGAGACUGGAAUUUACGGUGUAGCGGUGAAAUGCGUAGAUAUCGUAAGGAAGACCAGUGGCGGAAGGCGGGUCUCUGGACAGUUCCUGACGCUGAGGCACGAAGGCCAGGGGAGCAAACGGG
rnacentral:rRNA from 1 species